CGCGAGCUGCUUUCAGAUUCAGUCAUCCAACACGCGCGAGUGCACUGAGAGUUCAAGAGCGUUGUUGGACAGUUCGUAAAUAAACUAAGCUAGGAGCUAGGGGAAUACAUGCGAUUGUACAAGUGCCAUCAAGUGAGACCGAGCUCUUUUAGUUGUUGGUCAGAGGUUGGUGGCCGCAGAGGGAAAGAGUUGAGACCUAAUUUGGCUGGAAGAAGAAGACGCAGGGCCCUUUGGAGUGAGCGCUGAAACACCGGGCCUAACACACUGAACCCACCCACCAGGAAGAUGGAUGGGUGCUCUGGUACCGGGAGCCUCUCCCAGGAGGAGACACACGGCCGCCCAGGUCCACGGAGGGCGCUGCGGGGGGCCUCGGUGAGGUCUCGGACAGCCUCCCACCCGAGGCUGCUGUUCCUGGGCCUGCUGCCGCUGCUGCUCCUGGGCGCUCCUCUGCCAUCAGCAGCCAGCGCCUCACUCCAGGGGGUACCCAGGGUCACACUCAGCCACAAAGAGCUGGUGCAGAGUGGCAGUGUGUCUGUGUUUAUGGGGGCCUCUGGGGGCCUCCACUCCCACACGCUGCUGUUGGACGAAGAGAAGGGUCGCCUUCUACUGGGGGCCAGGGAUCACGUCUAUCUCCUUGACCCCGACAACCUCUCCAGAGCCCCCCGAAAGAUCGUCUGGCCUGCUUCUCUUGACAGAGUGAAGAUGUGCAAACUGGCUGGGAAAAAUGUAAAUCUGGAGUGUGCUAACUUUGUCCGGGUGCUCCACAACUACAACCACACGCACGUGUACGCCUGUGGCACCGGAGCCUUCCACCCCACCUGUGCCUUCAUCGAGCUCACCGGCCACAGAGAGAGCGGGGUGUUCCAGCUGCUCCCCAGCUCGUUUGAAUCGGGGAGAUUAAAAUGUCCUUUUGAUCCCCGGCAACCAUUCACCUCAGUCCUUACAGACCAGUACCUGUAUGCAGGCACGGCUUCAGACUUCCUGGGCAAAGACACCACCUUCACUCGCUCCCUGGGCCCACCGCCCGACCAGAACUACAUACGCACUGAGAUCUCCGAGGACUACUGGAUCAAUGAGGCCAGCUUCAUAUCGGCUCAUCCCAUGUCCGACACCCACAACCCGGACGACGAUAAGAUCUACUUUUUCUUCCGCGAAGUCUCCCGGGAGGGCAAGGACAAAAGCAUUCUGUCCCGCGUGGCGCGCGUCUGCAAGAAUGACGUGGGUGGGCUGAGGAGUCUGACCAACAAAUGGACCACCUUCCUCAAAGCCAGACUGGUGUGCUCCAUUCCUGGGCCUGACGGAGUAGACACACACUUUGAUGAGCUCCAGGACAUCUUCAUGCUUCCCACCAGAGACGAUAAGAACCCCGUGGUGUACGGGGUCUUCACCACCUCCAGCUCCAUCUUCCGGGGCUCAGCGGUGUGUGUGUACAGCAUGGCGGACAUCAGGGCCGUGUUCAACGGACCCUACGCCCACAAGGAGGGCCCCGACCACCGCUGGGUCGAAUACGAGGGCAGGAUCCCCUACCCACGCCCCGGGACGUGCCCCAGCAAGACGUACGACGCGAAGAUCAAGACCACCAAGGACUUCCCCGACGAGGUGGUCAGCUUCGUGCGGUUCCACCCGCUGAUGCACGGCUCGGUGCUCCCGCUGAACGGCCGGCCCGUCUUCCAGCUGGUGCGCGCCGAGUACACGCUCACGCAGAUCGUGGUGGACCGCGUCUCCGCUGAGGACGGCCAGUACGAGGUCAUGUUCCUCGGAACAGAUGCUGGUUCGGUGUUGAAGGUGGUGAGCAUCGCUCAGGAGAAUUGGUCCAGGGAGGAAGUGGUGCUGGAGGAGCUGCAAGUGUUCAAGGUUCCAACUCCCAUCCUGAGCAUGGAGAUGUCAUUCAAACAGCAGCAGCUGUACGUGGGCUCCAGUGAGGGCCUGGCCCAGGUGUCCCUCAGCAGGUGUCCGCUGUACGGGCAGGGCUGCUCUGAGUGCUGCCUGGCCCGGGAUCCGUACUGCGCCUGGGACGGGACCACCUGCUCCCGCUACGUCCCCGCGGCCAAGAGGCGGGCCCGGAGACAGGACGUUAAGCACGGCGACCCGGCCAGCCAGUGCUGGGACUCGGCGGACGGAGGGGGACUGCCGGAGGAGAGAGUUCUAUUUGGGGUGCAGAACAACUCCACUUUCCUGGAGUGUAUCCCUAAAUCCCAGCAGGCCCAGAUCCGCUGGUACAUCCAGAGACCGGGCAUGGAGCACCGCGACCAGGUCAGAGAACACUCGCCCCAUGCCGGCACGUACUCCCAUGCACUCCGAGCUGCGCACUCACCUAUGCACCACUAACCCAGACAGUCACUCAUGCACCACACACAUGCAUGCACGUGCACACACAAACACACUAAAACCCUCUUUCAUCAUUCAUUUGCCCAAACUUUCCCCAGUUUGCUUUCUGUCCUUUCACUACUCUUGGAUUAAGUGCAAAGAAAACGGUCAGAAUCAGAUAUCUGAAACAAUAGUUAAGGCUUUAACAAACAAAUCCUACACGGUGUUAUUGGCUUUUUGUGACAUAAACAAAACAGGGGUUCCAUAUUUGGCCUCCUUUGAAUCUCAUUCUGGUUUCUGCUCUAAACGCAUAUGCAUCUAAGCACAAUCAUUGAUUUAACACAAAGCUUGGCUUUGUGUUCAAUCAAGCCUGGCCAGUUGUUGCCUGAACCUUUUCCUUUAUUGGAUUGCGGACAAGCCAAGACAUAUUUGUUUUCUUUCAUCAGUGACUUCAGCAAAACUCCUUGAAGUGAUAAAAAUCCAAAUCAAAACAAAUCACAUGGGAUCAAAAGAUGCAAAUCAGCCGUCGAUUCGGUCUCUGCGUCCCAAGACGUGUUAUCUCGCCGCAAAAUCCCGGCUGGCUCCGCUACAAUGCCGAUGACGAGGCCCUGUUGUGUUAGCUGGUUAGCUCUUUGGGCAUUGUAUCCUCCACAGCGCUGCUCAGUGCUGUCAUCAAGCCACAUGUGGCAUCACAACCCUGACGUUGUUUUAACAUUGUGGAACAGGACGCUUGCGUUGCGCCGCACAAAUGUUCAUGACUUUUAUUUCCUGGCUGAGGGAAGCCAUGGCCGAUGUUUAUCAGCAGUGGGUCUGCUGCAGGGAGGUGAGGAGUGACUGAGUCCAGACGACCUCACCCGGUGGGGCCUGUGGUGUUGACAAGCUCCCCAGAACACCUUCUGAGGCACAAAACCAGUACAGCAGAAACGUGUCGACGGGGCGUUUAUUUAGCAGACGGGUGUAUUGUUUAGUGACAUGGGAUAGGUAGACGUACAAUAGGUGUCUCUAGGAGGCAUUAGAGCUGAGGCCUUGGGGUGUAUGGUGCUAUUUUGUUUCCCUGUGGGGGGGGGGGGGGUGGUCAGCCAUUCUUCUGGUGACUCUUUACUGGACAUAGUUCACCAUUUCCGGAGCUCUUUGCUGGUCACCCCCCCCCCGGGCUCCUGGGUUGUCUCUCAGGGCCAGGUGUAAACAAAGGGACAGACAGGUGCAGGGGCUGCCAAACACUCACGUGUUCUGUCGCAGGCGGGAAACCCACAGUGUGUGCGUGUGUGUGUGUGUGCGUGUGCGUGUGUGUGGUAUGUCCAUGCAUGUGUUCAAGUUUGUGUGUGUGUGAUGGUAUGUCCGUGUGUGUGCAUGUCCAUGCAUGUGUGUGUAUGCGUGUGUGUUUCCCCCACAGUGAACAAUCAUAAAACAGAACUAUCUAGGGUCAGAUGUUUUUUAGGGUAUGAACACAAGAGGCUAUUUGUUUGUUUGAGGAUCCCGCCAUAUGUACACAGCUGUACUAAUUGACAAAGGAGAGUAACGCAAACAUUUCCCUUUCUCCCUUAAAGCAGAGUAAACAAAUAUCCACUGCUUUGAACGCAUUAGUCAGCGGACACAACAAUGGUUAUAAGGAUUUACGUUUAUUUUACAGAAAAUAUAUGAUAGACCACUUGGUAAUUAAGUAGUGUUAUUUAUGUACGACCUUUGUAGUGUCAAAAAACAAAAGUCUUUUGUUAUUUCUUCCUUUCUUUUUAAUUCAGGCACCCCAUGGGGUCUGGUUCUUAGCAGGAUGUUUACUGGAUCGCUGAACAGCGAGUAAUGCACUUCAUUCUGGCUGAGUUUGUAUUUUUAAUGGGAGGUUAAGGCAGAGCUCAGGGUCGGUUCUACAGGCGUAUUGGUACAGGUGAUGUCCUGAUUUUCCUUCCGUCCUCACUUCCUGUUUCCUUUACUUUGUUUCUGUCUGGCUAUCUUACUGUCGGUCUGUCUUUCCACAUCUCUGUGUCUCUGUCUCUCUAUGUCUUGUUUCUCUCUCUCUCUGUCUCUGUCUCUGUCUCUGUCUCUCUGUCUCUGUCUCUGUCUCUGUCUCUGUCUCUCUCUCUGUCUCUCUCUCUGUCUCUCUCUCUGUCUCUGUCUCUGUCUCUCUCUCUCUCUCUCUGUCUAUUUUCCGUCUGACUCGCCGUCCUCUCCCUCCCUCAUAUUGUCUGGCCCCUAACUGGUUUGGAUUCAAAACACCUCUCUCCAGCUGCUGUGGCACCUGCAUUUCCUCUGCCUACAUUCCUCAUCCUCUCCACACAAAUGCACACACUCACACACACUCGCAUGCACACAAUGUCUACAAUGUCUCUUAUCUUGUAAAACUCUGCUCUGAAGCACUCAACUAGAGAUCUUUUUAACUUUAUUAAUCUCUGUUUCUUGAUCAGACACACACGCACACGCACACGCACACGCACACGCACACACACACACACACCCCAAAUCACACAGUGUGAUUUGGGUAAGAUUGUGAGUUUGACUUUUGUAGUACCUCCCCAUGCCCCGGGAGGUAAUAAAAUGCUCAUAAUGAGAACAAUAUGGAAGUCAAUUUGAAUCUAAAUCCAUCAUCUGUGUCUAAUAGAAUGGAAAUACACAAUAAAAAGUGAAAUGGG